AAAAUUUUAAGUUAAGUAAACUAAUAGUUUUCAAAACUAUAAUUAGCUUUUGUUAAAUUUUA
rnacentral:tRNA from 1 species